rnacentral:rRNA from 1 species
UACGGAGGGUGCAAGCGUUAUCCGGAUUCACUGGGGUUAAAGGGUGCGUAGGUGGAGUGGUAAGUCAGUGGUGAAAUCUCCAAGCUUAACUUGGAAAGUGCCGUUGAUACUAUCAUUCUUGAAUAUCGUGGAGGUAAGCGGAAUAUGUCAUGUAGCGGUGAAAUGCUUAGAUAUGACAUAGAACACCGAUUGCGAAGGCAGCUUGCUACACCAUCAUUGACACUGAGGCACGAAAGCGUGGGGAGCAAACAGG